rnacentral:rRNA from 1 species
AUGGCCAAGUUUGUGGGUGUCAACGCUGUUGCCUAUGCCGCGCUUGUCAUCGCUACCGUCGCGGCCACUCGCAAGCCCGACUGUGCGAAGACACAGCAAGACUUCGAGCACUCGCUCGAUGCCUUCAUGGAGUCUUGCGACUGCCCCGACGACAUGUUCUCUGGCCUCGAACAGAUCACCCACAUCCACCUCGCAAUCGCAAAAGAUCUACAGGCUACUGCCAACACUGAGGAGAAAGGGGUGCAUGAAGAGAAGGAUACAAUAGCCACGCCGCCGAUGUCGGUGAUGAUUCCAGCCUUCGAGGAAAAGUAG